rnacentral:misc_RNA from 1 species
UCCUGGUUUCCCAGGCAGUCCCACCAGAGUGCUUCGCCCGAAGGCGAGUGGCAACUGGCAGCGAGGGUUGCGCUCGUUAGAGGACUUAACCCAACAUCUCACGACACGAGCUGACGACAGCCAUGCAGCACCUGUGCAGCUGUCUAGACCGAAGCCUAGAAGAUCGUAUUUCUACGACUGUCAGUAGCAUGUCAAACCCAGGUAAGGUUCCUCGCGUAGUGUCGAAUUAAACCACAUGUUCCACCGCUUGUGCGGACCCCCGUCAAUUCAUUUGAGUUUUAACCUUGCGGCCGUACUCCCCAGGCGGAUUACUUAAUGCGUUAGCUCCGACACUGAACCAGCAGAAGCCGAUCCAACGUCCAGUAAUCAUCGUUUACGGCGUGGACUAC